CAAAAAAUGUUUUGUAUAGCAAUCAUCAAACAUUGAAAUCAAUUUAAAAUUCAUGGCUGCAGAUGAGAAAAAUACUGAUUUUACAAUUCUAAAGGAUUUCAUAGAUAAAUUUUAUAUGAUGAUAUGAAGUCCACUUUGGGACGCCAGUGAGAAGAUGCGACAAUCAUUCAAUUACAGUGGAAGCGUGUAAUAAAGUAAAUGUGAAACAUGUGGGGAGCUGCAGCUGAAAUUAUUAAAAAUCUGAACAAGACGAGGAAAAUCCAAAAUGGAAGCCGGGCAUUUAUGACAGAGGGACAAGGUUAGGCGUUCUGGUCCACAAGCUAUCGUGUGUCUGAUUUGACCCUAAUCAGUAUAGAGAAAAAUAUUUAAGAAAAAUACAGUGGCAAGUAGUAGUUAGAGAAAAGGCUGGAGAGGUUUAGUUCACUGUUGAGAAUGAAUAAUGCUAUGUAAUUCAAAAGUGGUAAAGUGGUCCUGCGGGGAAUGAUUAUUUUUGUGUUUUAAAAAUAUAAAAAUAUUUUAUUUAAAUGUUUGUUAGGGAAUUUGUCGGGAAAAUUGCGCUAUAAAUCCCUGCGACCGUCUUUUUAGUUCAUUUUUUCUUUCAAUAUUUCACAGCUCUCUUCUUCUUUUUCGUUCUCUUAAUUGCUUCAGAUCUCUUGAUUUUGCUUGUAAUCUCUAGUUCAAUCUUCAGCAAAUUAAAAGAAAUACGUAGAAUGAAAUCAACUGUUCGUCACUCACAUAUGGUCGCAGCUAGUUCUUCUAGCAGCGAGGAUGACAUGUCCUUAGGUGUUGAUCAAGAAGAGGCACCUGCGCCACCUAUUGAUGCUGCCUCUUCCAGCACGGUUUCAUAGUGCAAAGGCGGCAUGCCUUCACAGCGGAAUCAUUUCACCCGCAAGUACGAGGCAUAGUAAAGGAUGACCUUUCAAUGUUCACAAACAUUGAGGCCGCCCAAGUAAUAGUAUUGAUGUUUAAAUCAUUGAUGGAGAUUCCAUUAUUUCAAUGGAGUCAGGUAUCCAGACAUCCUGAAUGGAUACCACAUAUUGAUGCAUGGUUUGACAAAUUUGAGCGCGCAUGAUAAUGUUGUGAGGAGGGUGUGGGAAAAUCACGCGGCAACUAGGUUGCGUGAUUUUUGGUAUGAAGCACAAAAAAAUACCAAAAAAACGCGAGAGAUUGAGGUCUUUAAGGCUAGAACGACAAGAAGGUUUGGAGGGAUUUCAAACUGCUACACAUCCCGGAAGAUAUUUGGCUGCAAUAUCUUGAGCACGUGACGUCUAAGCGGUUCACACGACGCUUACAGUCCGGUGCUGGCAACCGGAACCAACAAAUUCAUGAUUCGCUGACAACGCACAUCGGCGGCUCCGUUCCGUUUGCUGCACAUGCAAAAUGGAUGGCUACGUCUCUUGAACAUGAGCCGAGCUCAAUGGAGUUGUUUGUAGAGAUGCACGUGCGGAGUAAAGACCGCCAAAAGGGGGUGCAACAGUUCGUUGACAAUCGCGCUCAACACUUUAUGGUAUGUUCAUUCAACCAUUUUAUUUCGUAAGUUAUUGGGAGGGGCUGUGGUUUUGAUUUGCAAUUGAAGAGGAACAGGAAGGAUAAGAGAAUAGGGUUGAUGUCAGUUAUAACACUCUAAAAUUUUCCAAUGAAAUAUUGCAUUGGAAAAUACCGUCGAUAAAUCCAUUUGAUAUGAUGACAUGUCAUAUUAACAACGUAAUCACCGACAUACUAUUUUUUUUACUUAUUUUUAUUAUUUUAUUGUAUUUGUGAUUCCGUCAUUAAUUACCAACAUAAUUUUUUCUGUUGGUAAUUAAGUUGGAAAUCAUUGACAUAAAUAUUACAUCUCUAUUAUAAUCGGACAUUACCGAUGAAAUAUAUUAUUUCAUCAGCAAUUCUAUUGCUAUUUUACAAUUUUAUGGUAGUGAAUUUGUGGCUUAUAAUUA